rnacentral:rRNA from 1 species
AGUCAAUAUGCCCAGGGGACGUGGAUAACCUCGGGAAACUGAGGAUAAACCACGAUAGGUCAUCACUUCUGGAAUGGGUAAUGACUUAAAUCUAUAUGGCCCCUGGAUUGGACUGCGGCCGAUCAGGCUGUUGGUGAGGUAAUGGCCCACCAAACCUGUAACCGGUACGGGCUCUGAGAGGAGGAGCCCGGAGAUGGGCACUGAGACAAGGGCCCAGGCCCUAUGGGGCGCAGCAGGCGCGAAACCUCUGCAAUAGGCGAAAGCUUGACAGGGUUACUCUGAGUGAUUUCCGUUAAGGAGAUCUUUUGGCACCUCUAAAAAUGGUGCAGAAUAAGGGGUGGGCAAGUCUGGUGUCAGCCGCCGCGGUAAUACCAGCACCCCGAGUGGUCGGGACGUUUAUUGGGCCUAAAGCAUCCGUAGCCGGUUCUACAAGCCUUCCGUUAAAUCCACCUGCUUAACAGAUGGGCUGCGGAAGAUACUAUAGAGCUAGGAGGCGGGAGAGGCAAGCGGUACUCGAUGGGUAGGGGUAAAAUCCGUUGAUCCAUUGAAGACCACCAGUGGCGAAGGCGGCUUGCCAGAACGCGCUCGACGGUGAGGGAUGAAAGCUGGGGGAGCAAACCGGAUUAGAUACCCGGGUAGUCCCAGCUGUAAACGAUGCAGACUCGGUGAUGAGUUGGCUUAUUGCUAACUCAGUGCCGCAGGGAAGCCGUUAAGUUUGCCGCCUGGGGAGUACGGUCGCAAGACUGAAACUUAA